AAGUCGUAACAAGGCUUCCGUAGGUGAACCUGCGGAAGGAUCAUUCAUAAUAAGUGUUUUAUGGCACUUUUUAAAUCCAUAUCCACCUUGUGUGCAAUGUCAGUCGAUCUUCUUCAUGGAGAUCGACCAAACAUCAACCUUUAUUUUUUAACUCUUUGUCUGAAAAAUAUUAUGAAUAAACAAUUCAAAAUACAACUUUCAACAACGGAUCUCUUGGCUCUCGCAUCGAUGAAGAACGCAGCGAAAUGCGAUACGUAAUGUGAAUUGCAGAAUUCAGUGAAUCAUCGAAUCUUUGAACGCAUAUUGCGCUCUUUGGUAUUCCGAAGAGCAUGCUUGUUUGAGUAUCAGUAAACACCUCAAAGCUUUUGGAUUUUUUAAUCGAAAAGCUUUGGACUUGAGCAAUCCCAACACCAAUCUUUUUGAGAUCGGUGGCGGGUUGCUUGAAAUGCAGGUGCAGCUGGACAUUCUCCUGAGCUAAAAGCAUAUUCAUUUAGUCCCGUCAAACGGAUUAUUACUUUUGCUGCAGCUAACAUAAAGGGAGUUUGACCGUAUUGGCUGACUGAUGCAGGAUUUCACAAGGGUCGGCAACGAUUCUUGUUAAACUCGAUCUCAAAUCAAGUAAGACUACCCGCUGAACUUAAGCAUAUCAAUAAGCGGAGGAAAAGAAACUAACAAGGAUUCCCCUAGUAACGGCGAGUGAAGCGGGAUGAGCUCAAAUUUAAAAUCUGGCUGGUUUACUAGUCCGAAUUGUAGUUUAUAGAAGCGUUUUCGGUGGCAGCCUGGGUAUAAAUCCUUUGGAAUAGGGUAUCAUAGAGGGUGAGAAUCCCGUCUUUGACUCAGUGCAUGCUACUAUGUGAUACGUUUUCAAA
rnacentral:sRNA from 1 species